rnacentral:rRNA from 1 species
GACGAACGCUGGCGGCGUGCUUAACACAUGCAAGUCGAACGGAAAGCGCUUGCUGUUUUGGUGUGCUCGAGUUGCUAACGGGUGAGUAACUCGUGAGUAACCUGCCCUUGCCUCUGGGAUAACUUCAGGUAACUAAGGCUAAUACCUGCUAGGAGCUCCCUCUGCAUGGUGGGGGUUGUAAAGUUUCGGCGGUUUGGGAUGGACUCGCGGCUUUUCAGCUUGUUGGUGGGGUAGUGGCUUACCAAGGCGUUGACGAGUAGCCGGCCUGAGAGGGUGACAGGCCACAUAGUGACAGAGAAACGAGCAAUACGCAUACGGGAGGCAGGAGUGAAGAAUAGUGGAAGAAAGGCCGAAGGCGGAAGGAGCAACGCCGCGUGCGGGAUGACUGUCAUCGGGGUGGAAAGGGCUUUCGGCGGUGACGAAGAAGGAGUGACGGUAAUGGGUAAAGAAGCCACGGCUAACUACGUG